rnacentral:rRNA from 1 species
UACGUAGGCAGCGAGCGUUGUUCGGAGUUACUGGGCGUAAAGGGUGUGUAGGCGGUUGUUUAAGUUUGGUGUGAAAUCUCCCGGCUCAACCGGGAGGGUGCGCCGAAUACUGAAUGACUCGAGUGCGGGAGAGGAGAGUGGAAUUCCUGGUGUAGCGGUGAAAUGCGUAGAUAUCAGGGGGAACACCAGUGGCGAAGGCGGUGCUCUGGGCCGGUACUGACGCUGAGGAGCGAAAGCGUGGGUAGCAAACAGG